GGAUCUAUGCUCAAUGGUUAGAGCCCCCGACUCAUAAUCGGUCUGUUACAGGUUCGAGUCCUGUUAGAUCCACCA
rnacentral:tRNA from 1 species